rnacentral:rRNA from 1 species
UGGGUAACCUGCCUGUAAUACUGGGAUAACUCCGGGAAACCGGGGCUAAUACCGGAUGGUUGUUUGAACCGCAUGGUUCAAACAUAAAAGGUGGCUUCGGCUACCACUUACAGAUGGACCCGCGGCGCAUUAGCUAGUUGGUGAGGUAACGGCUCACCAAGGCAACGAUGCGUAGCCGACCUGAGAGGGUGAUCGGCCACACUGGGACUGAGACACGGCCCAGACUCCUACGGGAGGCAGCAGUAGGGAAUCUUCCGCAAUGGACGAAAGUCUGACGGAGCAACGCCGCGUGAGUGAUGAAGGUUUUCGGAUCGUAAAGCUCUGUUGUUAGGGAAGAACAAGUACCGUUCGAAUAGGGCGGUACCUUGACGGUACCUAACCAAAAAGCCACGGCUAACUA